rnacentral:ncRNA from 1 species
AUAAAAGCUAUGAUAGGGAAAAGUAGUGUUACUAUUGCAUUUUAGAGAGUCAGCGAUGGACAUUUUAUAAAUUCUUUAUAAAAGUCCUAGGUGUAAGCUGAUAUGGAUAUAAUACGAAAUACACCCUUGAGCUGCAGACUGAGAAAUGAACAAGUAAGUUGUGCCGGAAGCUUCCACCGUUACAUAGGAAGAGAGUAUGUAUGUACUCGGAAACAAGAGGACUGCUAUAUGCAGUCAAUUAGGGUGGUACCGCGAGCCUUUCGUCCCUUGA